rnacentral:lncRNA from 1 species
AAGCAAGCUUCCUGGUGACCGAAAUUGCCUGGAGAUAACAAGAGGUUUUCUUGUUGUGCCUGGAACUUUUUUUUUUGUUGUAUGUUUUUUUGGGUGUUGGGCUGGCAAUGGCGGAGCAAAGGCCUAGUGCGGCAGGCGAAGCCUUGCUCUGUUGGUUGAGCCCCUGGAGGUCCAUGUGAGGAAUGCCCCUCGCUUUCCAGGAGGUGACCUGGAUGCUCCCCAAAACAGGGUCCAUUACUGGAGCUCUUCGCUGCCCCUGAGCCAUGUCCCAUCCCCUGCUCACCCUGCUGCCACCCUUGCCCUGGGCCUGGCUGCAGGUACAGUCUGUUGGUUAUGAUAUGCAGUGCCUGCUGACAAACCAAGAAGCUGUUUUGAUGACCUGUUGUGCAAAGAAACCUGUCUGCAGGUAAACAGCAUAAAAAGCUGGAAUAAUUGUUUUUAGUGAAGACUUGCUCUGUAUUGCAGGGAAGUGCUUGAGCACUGGUGCACGUUUUCAUGGGUGCAGGGAACUGUAAAAGUUUAGUACGUCUGGCACGUGAAAUGAGCAAUAUAACCUCUGUCAGUGCAUAGGAUCCUGCGAGAAAUAAGCAAAUAUGAGAAAACACUAAUCAGUGGAAAUUUUUUUUUUUUUUAGGUCUAUGUAUAUCUUCUAUCCUUUGGUGUUAGCACAGAGCAUUACUGGCAGUCCAUCACUGAAGUUUAAAUAGGAUGCCUUGGGUGCAGAGUUUCAAUUGCAGACCUGAGAGUGAUGGCUGCACAUUUCCACAAGGAGUGAGGGGAAGGUCAGUGCCCUACAAGGCAGGAAGAAAGUUCUUCGAGGGGAACAGCAGCAAAGAACAUCAAACUGCAAUUACAUCCUAAAUGCCCCUCUGUUUUGCUACUGUGAUUUAAAAAUAAAAUAAAAUCUAAUUUCA